AGUUUGACAAAUAAACUACAAAAACUAUAUAUCUAUUAAUCUCAAAAACUAUAUAUGCCUAAUAGUUAAGAUAUGUUUCACUAUAUAAACAAAAUAUACUGCUAAGUUGAACUAUAGAUUCACUCAGGUUUGCUCUCUUCUUACUCUUCUUAACAAGUCACUCCUAGUUUCACUAAUUCUCUUCAUUGUCAUUGUCUUCUUCUUAAUGGUUCUCCUUCUUUUUCUCAUUGAUCUUUCUCUUUUGUUUGUGUAGGUUCAAUCAAAGGAUCCAACUCCAAGUUUUCUCCAUCGCCAAAAAUUUAUAAUAAGCGAAAGUAAUUGUCUCUCGAGCCAUGACAGAUUCGUGUAACUUGCAUCUUUGUGCUUCUCUUUUCAGCUUUAAGUGCAACGAGUCAAAGAGUUUGUGCCAAGCAAAAGAACCAUUCAACUGCAAUGAUGUGAGAACUUUCAACCGAACUAACUUUCCAAGAAACUUCACUUUUGGUGCAGCAACUUCAGCAUAUCAAGUAUG
rnacentral:lncRNA from 1 species